UACGUAGGGCGCAAGCGUUGUCCGGAAUUAUUGGGCGUAAAGAGCUCGUAGGUGGCGUGUCGCGUCCGCCGUGAAAGCCCAUGGCUUAACUGUGGGUCUGCGGUGGAUACGGGCAGGCUGGAGGCUGGUAGGGGCAAGCGGAAUUCCUGGUGUAGCGGUGAAAUGCGCAGAUAUCAGGAGGAACACCGGUGGCGAAGGCGGCUUGCUGGGCCAGUUCUGACGCUGAGGAGCGAAAGCGUGGGGAGCGAACAGG
rnacentral:rRNA from 1 species